CCUACGGGAGACAGCAGUGAGGAAUAUUGGUCAAUGGGCGAGAGCCUGAACCAGCCAAGUCGCGUGAAGGAUGACGGCCCUACGGGUUGUAAACUUCUUUUGUCAGGGAGCAAUUGAGUCCACGUGUGGGCUUCGCGAGAGUACCUGAAGAAAAAGCAUCGGCUAACUCCGUGCCAGCAGCCGCGGUAAUACGGAGGAUGCAAGCGUUAUCCGGAUUUAUUGGGUUUAAAGGGAGCGUAGAUGGGUUGUUAAGUCAGUUGUGAAAGUUUGCGGCUCAACCGUAAAAUUGCAAUUAAUACUGGCAGUCUUGAGUACAGUUGAGGUAGGCGGAAUGCGUGGUGUAGCGGUGAAAUGCUUAGAGAUCACGAAGAACUCCGAUUGCGAAGGCAGCUUACUAAACUGCCACUGACAUUGAUGCUCGAAAGUGUGGGUAGCAAACAGGAUUAGAUACCCGAGUAGUC
rnacentral:rRNA from 1 species